rnacentral:rRNA from 1 species
UACGUAGGGAGCGAGCGUUAUCCGGAUUUAUUGGGUGUAAAGGGUGCGUAGACGGGAAAUUAAGUUAGUUGUGAAAUCCCAUGGCUCAACUGUGGAACUGCAACUAAAACUAAUUUUCUUGAGUACUGGAGAGGAAAGUGGAAUUCCUAGUGUAGCGGUGAAAUGCGUAGAUAUUAGGAGGAACACCAGUGGCGAAGGCGACUUUCUGGACAGAAACUGACGUUGAGGCACGAAAGUGUGGGGAGCAAACA